AACGAACGCUGGCGGCAUGCCUAACACAUGCAAGUCGAACGAGACCUUCGGGUCUAGUGGCGCACGGGUGCGUAACGCGUGGGAACCUGCCCUUAGGUUCGGAAUAACUCCCCGAAAGGGGUGCUAAUACCGGAUAAUGUCUUCGGACCAAAGAUUUAUCGCCUUUGGAUGGGCCCGCGUUGGAUUAGCUAGUUGGUAGGGUAAAAGCCUACCAAGGCGACGAUCCAUAGCUGGUCUGAGAGGAUGAUCAGCCACACUGGGACUGAGACACGGCCCAGACUCCUACGGGAGGGAGCAGUGGGGAAUAUUGGACAAUGGGCGAAAGCCUGAUCCAGCAAUGCCGCGUGAGUGAUGAAGGCCUUAGGGUUGUAAAGCUCUUUUACCCGGGAUGAUAAUGACGGUACCGGGAGAAUAAGCACCGGCUAACUCCGUG
rnacentral:rRNA from 1 species